GACGUAGGGUGCAAGCGUUGUCCGGAUUUAUUGGGCGUAAAGAGCUCGUAGGCGGCUUGUUGCGUCGACUGUGAAAACCCGCGGCUUAACUGCGGGCUUGCAGUCGAUACGGGCAGGCUAGAGUUCGGUAGGGGAGACUGGAAUUCCUGGUGUAGCAGUGAAAUGCGUAGAUAUCAGGAGGAAUACCGAUGGCGAAGGCAGGUCUCUGGGCUGACACUGACGCUCAUGCACGAAAGCGUGGGGAGCAAACAGG
rnacentral:rRNA from 1 species